GCUUUUCUAACAAAAAUAAGACAUGAGGUGGGGAAAGAGUUUCAGAUGAAGCACAGAGUAGGGAUGGGGUAGCACAGGGGGCUUACAGAGGUGCUGGAAGACCACCUCAGGAACUCCUGGCUAGUGUAACUGCGGAGCUGUGUGAGAGAAAGCCAGGGGACUCCUCCUCUAUGGUGAGCUCCUAGAAGCAAGCCUUGGCUAGGAUUUGGAUGUGUGUGUUUCACUGAAGAGGAGUUGUCAGGAAAUAUCUACUAGGGAGUGAGAGGAGCAAGACAGAAGACGGGAAGGAACCCAGCGGAGAUCAGGUCUCAGGCGGAGAGGAGCCUCAGCUCUGUCCAUCGGGGGGAUGGGGCAGUCUCUUCAUGAACCCACUCCAGGGGGCCUGCCUUUUGUGCCAUCACUGGCUGUUGGCCAGGCCUAGAGGCAGGGUGUGGUUAACCUCCCCGGUGAGGAACUCUGGUCAGCCGAGGGCAAACCUCCAGGGAAGGAGAGCAGCUGUGGGGAGAGGACAACCAAAGUCCCAGCAGCCAGGAGAUGGGAACCCCACAAGGCAGAGGGGAUCUGGACAAGGCCCCACCAUCUCUAUCUACAUGCACGGUCACAGAAAGGAGAGAAGGAAAGAAAGAAAAAAGGGAGUAAAGGAGAGGAAGAAAGGAAGAAAAAGAGAGAGAAUGGGAAUGCUGCUUUAUUCUAAAAAUGGUCUCUCCACCAAAGAUUCACCCACUUGCCUUCGAGCACGGACUUGUCGAAUGUUCUUCACUGAAGAUUAUUUGACCAGAUUAACCUUCAGUGGCAGACAGUAAAAAAGACCUUCAAUGACCAGCUGUGAGACUGGAGGCUGGAUGUCUCUCUAAUGAACUCCGGCUCGUGCAGGAGAGAGAACACUUUAAAAACCAAAGCAGGUGAAGGUCCAGGAAUGAUGACAGAAUAGAAGACGCCUUCACUCUUUUCAUUCAAGAAAUGGCAUGCAGGUGGUGUCACUGGAUGGAUCCAGUGGGCAUAUGUGCCAGAGGUGGCAUUGAUGGGGUGGAACUGGAGGCUGGGGUCAUGUCGGUGAAGUGGUGAGGUAGUGACAGGGAGGACAGUUUGCAGAGUUCCUGCUAAUUCUUGUGAGAGCUCCAACAAGGAUGAAGAAAAGGGACCGUAAUCAUGAAAAGUGGCUGCUCCAGGUCCACGUGGUUCAGUAAUGGCCAGAGGAGUGUCUGGGAGUGAGGGCAGCAGUACCUCAUAUCCGCCUGGACAGACGUGGGGGACAUUUACUUGUCAGAAUCUUCAGGAACUAAAGACUGUACAUUCAAUAAAAACAAGUGUGCUUAGAAAUGUAAAUGCA
rnacentral:lncRNA from 13 species